rnacentral:rRNA from 1 species
UACAGAGGGUGCAAGCGUUAAUCGGAGUUACUGGGCGUAAAGAGCACGUAGGCGGUUGAUUAAGUCAGUUGUGAAAGCCCUGGGCUUAACCUGGGAACUGCAAAUGAUACUGGUUAACUAGAGUCGAAGAGAGGGAAGCGGAAUUUCCGGUGUAGCGGUGAAAUGCGUAGAUAUCGGAAGGAACAUCAGUGGCGAAGGCGACUACCUGGCCUGUUUCUUGACGCUGAGGCGCGAAAGCUAGGGGAGCAAACGGG